UACGUAGGGGGCAAGCGUUGUCCGGAAUUAUUGGGCGUAAAGAGCUCGUAGGCGGUCUGUCGCGUCUGGUGUGAAAACUCAGGGCUUAACCCUGAGCUUGCAUCGGGUACGGGCAGACUAGAGUGCGGUAGGGGAGACUGGAAUUCCUGGUGUAGCGGUGAAAUGCGCAGAUAUCAGGAGGAACACCGGUGGCGAAGGCGGGUCUCUGGGCCGAUACUGACGCUGAGGAGCGAAAGCGUGGGGAGCGAACAGG
rnacentral:rRNA from 1 species